rnacentral:misc_RNA from 1 species
UCUCCGUUGGUGAACCAGCGGAGGGAUCAUUACAGAGUCGUAAAAAACUCCCAAACCCAUGUGAACCUACCAAUGUUGCCUCUGCGGACCUACCCUGUAGCCAGCUACCCUGUAGCGACCUACCCUGUAGCCGCCGGCGGACCAAUAAACUCUUGUUAUUCUAUGGAUAUCUGAGCGUCUUAUUUUAAUAAGUCAAAACUUUCAACAACAGAUCUCUUGGUUCGGGCAUCGAUGAAGAACGCAGC